GUCCUAGCCGUAAACGAUGAUAGCUAGGUGUGGGGGGGACCGCCCCUCCGUGCCUCAGCCAACGCAUUAAGCUAUCCGCCUGGGGAGUACGGCCGCAAGGCUAAAAACUCAAAGGAAUUGACGGGGGCCCGCACAAGCAGCGGAGCAUGUGGCUUAAUUCGAAGCAACGCGAAGAACCUUACCAGGGCUUGACAUGCGCAUGAAGCCGGGGAAACCCGGUGGCCGAGAGGAGUGCGCGCAGGUGGUGCAUGGCUGUCGU
rnacentral:rRNA from 1 species